GACGAACGCUGGCGGCGUGCUUAACCCAUGCAAGUCGAACGGAGUGGCGAAAGGGUGAGUAACACGUGGGUGACCUGCCCUGAACUUCGGGAUAAGCCUGGGAAACUGGGUCUAAUACCGGAUAGUGGGGGAUGGGCCAGCGGCCUAUCGGCGUGUUGGUGGGGUAAUGGCCUCCCAAGGCGGCGACGGGUAGCCGGCCUGAGAGGGUGGACUGCCACAUUGGGACUGGGACACGGCCCAGACUCCUACGGGAGGCAGCAGUGGGGGAGAUUGCACAAUGGGCGGAAGCCUGUUGCAGCGACUCCGCGUGGGGGAUGACGGCCUUCGGGUUGUAAACUCCUUUCACCAUCGACGCGUUGGAUGGAGAAGAAGCCCCGGCUAACUACGUGAAAGCAGCCGCGGUAAUUC
rnacentral:rRNA from 1 species